rnacentral:rRNA from 1 species
CCGCGGCUGCUGGCACGGAGUUAGCCGGUGCUUAUUCGUACAGUACAGUCAUCGGACUACACGUAGCCCUUAUUCUUCCUAUACAAAAGCAGUUUACAACCUCUAGGGCUGUCAUCCUGCACGCGGGAUGGCUGGUUCAGGCUUGCGCCCAUUGACCAAUAUUCCUCACUGCUGCCUCCCGUAGGAGUCUGGUCCGUGUCUCAGUACCAGUGUGUGGGACCAUCCUUUUAGACCCCAUAUCCAUCGUCGCCUUGGUGAGCCGUUACCUCACCAACUAGCUAAUGGAACGCAUGCCCAUCCUUUACCGCCGGAACUUUAUCCAAAAUAUCAUGCGAUAUCUCGAAACUAUGGAGUAUUAAUCCGAAUUUCUUCGGGCUAUCCUCCUGUAAAGGGCAGGUUGCAUACGCGUUACUCACCCGUGCGCCGGUCGUCAGCAAGUAUUGCUACUCCUGUUACCCCUCGACUUGCAUGUGUUAAGCCUCCCGCUAGCGUUCAUCCUGAGCCAUGAUCAAACUC